AUUGAACGCUGGCGGCAUGCUUUACACAUGCAAGUCGAACGGUAACAGGCCUUCGGGUGCUGACGAGUGGCGAACGGGUGAGUAAUGCAUCGGAACGUGCCCAGAGGUGGGGGAUAACGCAGCGAAAGCUGUGCUAAUACCGCAUGUGAUCUGAGGAUGAAAGCGGGGGACCAGGCAGCAAUGUUUGGCCUCGCGCCUUUGGAGCGGCCGAUGUCAGAUUAGGUAGUUGGUGGGGUAAAGGCCUACCAAGCCGACGAUCUGUAGCUGGUCUGAGAGGACGACCAGCCACACUGGGACUGAGACACGGCCCAGACUCCUACGGGAGGCAGCAGUGGGGAAUUUUGGACAAUGGGCGCAAGCCUGAUCCAGCAAUGCCGCGUGCGGGAAGAAGGUCUUCGGGUUGUAAACCGCUUUUGUACGGAACGAAAAGGCUCUGGCUAAUACCUGGGGCUGAUGACGGUACCGUAAGAAUAAGCACCGGCUAACUACGUG
rnacentral:rRNA from 1 species